rnacentral:rRNA from 1 species
CGGUAAUUCCAGCUCCAAUAGCGUAUAUUAAAGUUGUUGCGGUUAAAACGUUCGUAGUUGAAUUUGUGCUUCAUACGGGUAGUACAACUAUAAUUGUGGUAUGUACAUUACCUUAUGUAUGUAAGCGUAUUACCGGUGGAGUUCUUAUAUAUGAUUGAUACGUGUAUUUUUUAUAUAUUCCUCCUAUUUAAACCUGCUUCAGUGCUCUUCAUCGAGUGUUGUUGUGGGCCGGUACAAUUACUUUGAACAAAUUAGAGUGCUUAAAGCAGGCUCCAAAUGCCUGAAUAUUUUGUGCAUGGAAUAAUGAAAUAAGACCUCUGUUCUACUUUCAUUGGUUUUUAGAUCAAGAGGUAAUGAUUAAUAGAAGCAGUUUGGGGGCAUUAGUAUUACGACGCGAGAGGUGAAAUUCUUGGACCGUCGUAAGACUAACUUAAGCGAAAGCAUUUGCCAAAGAUGUUUUCAUUAAUCAAGAACGAAAGUUAGAGGUUCGAAGGCGAUCAGAUACCGCCCUAGUUCUAACCAUAAACGAUGCCAGCUAGCAAUUGGGUGUAGCUACUUUCAUGGCUCUCUCAGUCGCUUCCCGGGAAACCAAAGCUUUUGGGCUCCGGGGGAAGUAUGGUUGCAAAGCUGAAACUUAAAGGAAUUGACGGAAGGGCACCACCAGGAGUGGAGCCUGCGGCUUAAUUUGACUCAACACGGGAAAACUUACCAGGUCCGAACAUAAGUGUGUAAGACAGAUUGAUAGCUCUUUCUCGAAUCUAUGGGUGGUGGUGCAUGGCCGUUCUUAGUUCGUGGAGUGAUUUGUCUGGUUAAUUCCGAUAACGAACGAGACUCAAAUAUAUUAAAUAGAUGCUUUCAGGAUUAUGGUGCUGAAGCUUGUGUAGCCUUCAUUCAUGACUGCAGUAAAAUGUAUAAGUGUUUGAAUGUGUUUAUUCAAGUGGAGCCGUACCUGUUGGUUUGUCCCAUUAUAAGGACACUAGCUUCUUAAAUGGACAAAUUGCGUCUAGCAAUAAUGAGAUUGAGCAAUAACAGGUCUGUAAUGCCCUUANAUGUCCUGGACUGCACGCNCGCUACAAUGAAAGUNUCAACGNGUAUUUCCUANACCGANAGGUCCGGGUAAACCGCUGAACCNCUUUCAUGNUUGGGGAUUGGGAACUGNA